rnacentral:rRNA from 1 species
GACAGAGGAUGCAAGCGUUAUCCGGAAUGAUUGGGCGUAAAGCGUCUGUAGGUGGCUUUUUAAGUCUGCCGUCAAAUCCCAGGGCUUAACCCUGGACAGGCGGUGGAAACUACCAAGCUGGAGUACGGUAGGGGCAGGGGGAAUUUCCGGUGGAGCGGUGAAAUGCGUAGAGAUCGGAAAGAACACCAACGGCGAAAGCACUCUGCUGGGCCGCAACUGACACUGAGGGACGAAAGCUAGGGGAGCGAAUGGG